CCUACGGGUGGCAGCAGUGAGGAAUAUUGGUCAAUGGACGAGAGUCUGAACCAGCCAAGUAGCGUGAAGGAUGACUGCCCUAUGGGUUGUAAACUUCUUUUAUAUGGGAAUAAAACGUUCCACGUGUGGGAUUUUGUAUGUACCAUAUGAAUAAGGAUCGGCUAACUCCGUGCCAGCAGCCGCGGUAAUACGGAGGAUCCGAGCGUUAUCCGGAUUUAUUGGGUUUAAAGGGAGCGUAGGUGGAUUGUUAAGUCAGUUGUGAAAGUUUGCGGCUCAACCGUAAAAUUGCAGUUGAAACUGGCAGUCUUGAGUACAGUAGAGGUGGGCGGAAUUCGUGGUGUAGCGGUGAAAUGCUUAGAUAGCACGAAGAACUCCGAUUGCGAAGGCAGUUCACUGGACUGCAACUGACACUGAGGCUCGAAAGUGUGGGUAUCAAACAGGAUUGGAUACCCGUGUAGUC
rnacentral:rRNA from 1 species